rnacentral:rRNA from 1 species
UACGUAGGUGGCAAGCGUUGUCCGGAAUCACUGGGCGUAAAGCGCGCGCAGGCGGCGAUCUACGUCUGGGGUGAAAGCCCGGAGCUCAACUCCGGGACUGCCUUGGAUACGGGAUCGCUUGAGGAUUGGAGAGGCAAGGGGAAUUCCACGUGUAGCGGUGAAAUGCGUAGAUAUGUGGAGGAACACCCGUGGUGCAGACGGCUUGCUGGACCAUGACUGACGCUGAGGCACGAAAGUGUGGGUAGCAAACAGG